CACGUAGGGGGCGAGCGUUGCCUCGGAUUUAUUGGGCGUAAAGAGCUCGUAGGCGGUUUCGUAAGUCGGAUGUGAAAACUCCAGCUCAACUUGGAGACGCCAUUCGAUACUGCGAUGACUUGAGUCCGGUAGGGGAGUGUGGAAUUCCUGGUGUAGCGGUGAAAUGCGCAGAUAUCAGGAGGAACACCGGCGGCGAAGGCGGCACUCUGGGCCGGUACUGACGCUGAGGAGCGAAAGCGUGGGUAGCAAACAGG
rnacentral:rRNA from 1 species